UACGAGGGGGGCGAGCGUUGUUCGGAAUUAUUGGGCGUAAAGGGUGCGUAGGCGGUUUGGUAAGUCUGAUGUGAAAUCUAUGGGCUCAACUCAUAGUCUGCAUCGGAAACUGCCGGGCUUGAGUGUGGGAGAGGUGACUGGAAUUCCUGGUGUAGCGGUGGAAUGCGCAGAUAUCAGGAGGAACACCGGUGGCGAAGGCGGGUCUCUGGGCCGAUACUGACACUGAGAAGCGAAAGCGUGGGGAGCGAACGGG
rnacentral:rRNA from 1 species